CCUACGGGUGGCAGCAGUGGGGAAUAUUGCACAAUGGGGGAAACCCUGAUGCAGCGACGCCGCGUGAGUGAAGAAGUAUUUCGGUAUGUAAAGCUCUAUCAGCAGGGAAGAAAUAGCGACCUUUGGGUCGCCAGACGGUACCUGAUUAAGAAGCCCCGGCUAACUACGUGCCAGCAGCCGCGGUAAUACGUAGGGGGCAAGCGUUAUCCGGAUUUACUGGGUGUAAAGGGAGCGUAGACGGCAGCGCAAGUCUGAAGUGAAAUGCCGGGGCUUAACCCCGGAACUGCUUUGGAAACUGUAUGGCUGGAGUGCUGGAGAGGUAAGCGGAAUUCCUAGUGUAGCGGUGAAAUGCGUAGAUAUUAGGAGGAACACCAGUGGCGAAGGCGGCUUACUGGACAGUAACUGACGUUGAGGCUCGAAAGCGUGGGGAGCAAACAGGAUUAGAUACCCGAGUAGUC
rnacentral:rRNA from 1 species